rnacentral:rRNA from 1 species
UAGGGAAUCUUCCACAAUGGACGCAAGUCUGAUGGAGCAACGCCGCGUGAGUGAAGAAGGGUUUCGGCUCGUAAAGCUCUGUUGGUAGUGAAGAAAGAUAGAGGUAGUAACUGGCCUUUAUUUGACGGUAAUUACUUAGAAAGUCACGGCUAACUACGUGCCAGCAGCCGCGGUAAUACGUAGGUGGCAAGCGUUGUCCGGAUUUAUUGGGCGUAAAGCGAGUGCAGGCGGUUCAAUAAGUCUGAUGUGAAAGCCUUCGGCUCAACCGGAGAAUUGCAUCAGAAACUGUUGAACUUGAGUGCAGAAGAGGAGAGUGGAACUCCAUGUGUAGCGGUGGAAUGCGUAGAUAUAUGGAAGAACACCAGUGGCGAAGGCGGCUCUCUGGUCUGCAACUGACGCUGAGGCUCGAAAGCAUGGGUAGCGAACAGGAUUAGAUACCCUGGUAGUCCAUGCCGUAAACGAUGAGUGCUAAGUGUUGGGAGGUUUCCGCCUCUCAGUGCUGCAGCUAACGCAUUAAGCACUCCGCCUGGGGAGUACGACCGCAAAGGUUG